rnacentral:rRNA from 1 species
GAGUGACUGCGUACCUUUUGUAUAAUGGGUCAGCGACUUACUGUUCGUGGCAAGCUUAACCGUAUAGGGGAGGCGAAGGGAAACCGAGUCUGAUAAGGGCGCAUAGUCGCGGGCAGUAGACCCGAAACCGGGUGAUCUAGUCAUGCCCAGGGUGAAGGUGCGGUAACACGCACUGGAGGCCCGAACCCACUCCCGUUGCAAAGGUAGGGGAUGAGGUGUGAUUAGGAGUGAAAAGCUAAUCGAACCCGGAGAUAGCUGGUUCUCAUAGAAAGCUAUUUAGGUAGCGCCUCAUAUGU